rnacentral:lncRNA from 1 species
GGUGCAUGGGUAUUUUAUUUGAAGUCAUAAAACGACUUUUAUGGUUUUUUUUUAUGUAUGUCACUAGGUACUUAUAGUAUCAAUCUACAAGACGUAAAAAUUAUUUAGUACAUUUUUAGUGGUCAUUUAAACAUUUUGUACUACACUGUAUGAUGAAGCAUUUCUAAUGGAAACUGUUGCCUUAUUUAUAUUUGUUUGUUUGCAUUCUCUU